UACGUAGGGUGCAAGCGUUAAUCGGAAUUACUGGGCGUAAAGCGUGCGCAGGCGGUGAUGUAAGACAGUUGUGAAAUCCCCGGGCUCAACCUGGGAACUGCAUCUGUGACUGCAUCGCUGGAGUACGGUAGAGGGGGAUGGAAUUCCGCGUGUAGCAGUGAAAUGCGUAGAUAUGCGGAGGAACACCGAUGGCGAAGGCAAUCCCCUGGACCUGUACUGACGCUCGUGCACGAAAGCGUGGGGAGCAAACAGG
rnacentral:rRNA from 1 species